rnacentral:rRNA from 1 species
AGGAUGAACGCUGGCGGCGUGCCUAAUACGUGCAAGUCGAGCGCCCUGCACAUUGCCCAUUAACUGAUUUAGUGAGCAGCGUGUAGGGAGCGGCGGACGGCUGAGUAACACGUAGGAACGUACCCCAAACUGAGGGAUAAGCACCAGAAAUGGUGUCUAAUACCGCAUGUGAUCUUCGGAUUAAAGCUUCGGCGGUUUGGGAACGGCCUGCGCAUGAUUAGCUUGUUGGUGAGGUAAUGGCUCACCAAGGCAGUGAUCAUUAGCUGGUCUGAGAGGAUGACCAGCCAGACUGGGACUGAGAACGGCCCAGACUCCUACGGGAGGCAGCAGUAGGGAAUCUUCCACAAUGGGCGAAAGCCUGAUGGAGCAACGCCGCGUGCAGGAUGAAGGUCUUCGGAUUGUAAACUGCUUUUAUCUGUGACGAUUAUGACGGUAGCAGAUGAAUAAGGAUCGGCUAACGUCCGUGCC